rnacentral:rRNA from 1 species
AAUAGAUACCCGGGUAGUCCACGCCCUAAACGAUGCUCACUAGGUGUUGGGGAAGCGAUUCCUUGGUACCGUAGCUAACGCGUGAAGUGAGCCGCCUGGGGAGUACGGCCGCAAGGUUAAAACUCAAAGGAAUUGACGGGGACCCGCACAAGCGGUGGAUGAUGUGGAUUAAUUCGAUGCAACGCGAACAACCUUACCUACCCUUGACAUGUCCGGAAGCCUGCUGAAAGGCGGGGGUGCUCGAAAGAGAACCGGAACACAGGUGCUGCAUGGCUGUCGUCAGCUCGUGUCGUGAGAUGUUGGGUUAAGUCCCGCAACGAGCGCAACCCUUGUCCCUAGUUGCUACGCAAGGGCACUCUAGGGAGACUGCCGGUGACAAACCGGAGGAAGGUGGGGAUGACGUCAAGUCCUCAUGGCCCUUAUGGGUAGGGCUUCACACGUCAUACAAUGGACGGUACAGAGGGUUGCCAACCCGCGAGGGGAGCCAAUCCCAGAAAGCCGUUCGUAGUCCGGAUCGCAGUCUGCAACUCGACUGCGUGAAGUCGGAA